rnacentral:rRNA from 1 species
UACGAAGGGGGCUAGCGUUGCUCGGAAUUAUUGGGCGUAAAGAGCUCGUAGGCGGUGUGUCACGUCGGCCGUGAAAACCUGGGGCUUAACUCUGGGCGUGCGGUCGAUACGGGCAUCACUAGAGUUCGGCAGGGGAGGCUGGAAUUCCUGGUGUAGCGGUGAAAUGCGCAGAUAUCAGGAGGAACACCGGUGGCGAAGGCGGGUCUCUGGGCCGAUACUGACGCUGAGGAGCGAAAGCAUGGGUAGCGAACAGG